rnacentral:rRNA from 1 species
GAUGAACGCUGGCGGCGUGCCUAAUACAUGCAAGUCGAGCGAACAGACGAGGAGCUUGCUCCUCUGACGUUAGCGGCGGACGGGUGAGUAACACGUGGAUAACCUACCUAUAAGACUGGGAUAACUUCGGGACACCGGAGCUAAUACCGGAUAAUAUCUUGAACCGCAUGGUUCAAUAGUGAAAGACGGUUUUGCUGUCACUUAUAGAUGGAUCCGCGCCGCAUUAGCUAGUUGGUACGGUAACGGCUUACCAAGGCGACGAUGCGUAGCCGACCUGUGAGAGGGAUCGGCCACACUGGAGCGGAGACGCGGUCCAGACUCCUACGGGAGGCAGCAGUAGGGAAUCUGCCGCAAUGGGCGAAAGCCUGACGGAGCAACGCCACGUGAGUGAUGAAGGUCUUCGGAUCGUAAAACUCUGUUAUUAGGGAAGAACAAAUGUGUAAGUAACUAUGCACGGCUUGACGGUACCUAAUCAGAAAGCCACGGCUAACUACGUG